rnacentral:rRNA from 1 species
UCCCUAUGGGGUGCAGCAGGCGCGAAAACUUUACAAUGCCGGCAACGGCGAUAAGGGGACCUCGAGUGCCAGGUUACAAAUCUGGCUGUCGUGAUGCCUAAAAAGCAUUGCAUAGCAAGGGCCGGGCAAGACCGGUGCCAGCCGCCGCGGUAACACCGGCGGCUCGAGUGGUAACCGUUAUUAUUGGGUCUAAAGGGUCUGUAGCCGGCCGGAUAAGUCUCUUGAGAAAUCCAGCAGCUCAACUGUUGGGCUUUCAGGAGAUACUGUCUGGCUCGAGGCCGGGAGAGGUGAGAGGUACUUCAGGGGUAGGGGUGAAAUCUUGUAAUCCUUGAAGGACCACCAGUGGCGAAGGCGUCUCACCAGAACGGACCUGACGGCAAGGGACGAAAGCUGGGGGCACGAACCGGAUUAGAUACCCGGGUAGUCCCAGCCGUAAACGAUGCUCGCUAGGUGUCGGGCAUGGCGCGACCGUGUCUGGUGCCGCAGGGAAGCCGUGAAGCGAGCCACCUGGGAAGUACGGCCGCAAGGCUGAAACUUAAAGGAAUUGGCGGGGGAGCACAACAACGGGUGGAGCCUGCGGUUUAAUUGGAUUCAACGCCGGAA